GAUGAACGCCGGCGGCGCGCUUAACACAUGCAAGUCGAACGAUUAAAGCACCUUCGGGUGUGUAUAAAGUGGCGAACGGCUGAGUAACACGUGUGCAACCUGCCCCUCUCAUUGGGAUAGCCACGGGAAACCGUGGAUAAUACCGAAUACUUUGGGACUUCAGCAUGGAAGACUCGAGCAAGCUCCGGCGGAGUGGGAUGGGCUCGCGGCCUGGUAGCUUGUUGGUGGGGUAAUGGCCUACCAAGGCAAUGAUGGGUACCUGGGUUGGGAGACCGACCAGCCACCUUGGGACUGAGACACGGACCAGACGCCUACGGGGGACAGCAGUGGGGAAUCUUGCACAAUGGGCGCGCGCCUAAUGAGGAGACGCCGCGUGCGGGAAGAAGGCCUUCGGGUUGUAAACCGCUUACAGCAGGGACGAGGCGAAAGUGACGGUACCUGCAGAAGAAGCCCCGGCUAACUACGUG
rnacentral:rRNA from 1 species